ensembl:lncRNA
GGAAUAAGCUGAAUUCUGACCUUGUGUAUUUAGCAGAUAUAAGCUGACAAAGGACUACUUUAUUUAUAGUCCCAAACUUUUGUUUAAAGAGCCAUAUGCACUUGGUUUUUAGAUCCAUGAACAUGGGAAAACUGCAAUUCAUGCAUAUUCUUUCACACAUCUGUUGAGCUUUUUGUGGACAGAGGAAAAUCUGUCUCAUCAGAGGCCUCCAAGACACAUUCCAGAAAAACAGGAGUGGUAACAGCAUUAGGAAAAUAUACUCAGUGUGUCACAAGAGCACAGAGAAGAAUCGCCUCCUAUUGCUAUAGUGGCUGCCAAGUCCAUGCCAUUCAAGAUAUAUCUUUCAUGCUAACAUUGUCUGCUUCAAAGGGGGUUUGCUCAGCCAAAGUAGAGUUAAUUUUAUUUGCCCACUGAGGCUCAGGCCAGUUCUUCAGCAUUUAGUACUAUGUGUGACCUCUCACGAAAGACCAAACAGGAAAGGGUUUUGCAGUAUGCUCAGCAGAACAGUAGAGACGUGCAGAACUCCAUGCUCUGCCCAGUCAUUCCACCACUCCUCUGGAAUAUACUUCCAGACGUGCAGUUUUUAAUCACGAAGAGAGAACUGGUCAACCUCAAAGGAAACGGAACAGAAAACUAAAACUGAAAGCAAAACCAUUUUGUAAUGCUGGUACGUUUUAAAGAAAAUGCAGGAAGCACAGAAUUGAGCCCACUGGCAAACUUGAUCCACUCAAGCAGCCUGAUAUUAGUCCUUUGAAUAAAUCCAGCAGGUUUUCACACAGCGAUUGUCUGAGCAGAGUGGCCCAUCUUCCUCAUCCCACAAUACAUCUGCUGCUUCGUGGAAACACACCAGUGAAAACCACCAACAGUAGACCAAUUUGCAAACUGCUCCCUAGCUUCCUCAUCCAAAAUUGCAAACAACCAUGUCCUACACAAGGAUGUACGUGUGUGUGUGUGUGUGUGUGUGUGUGUGUGUGUGUGUGUGUGUGUAAGAGCAAACAGAGCUGUAAAUAGAGAUUGCUCUUUACUCUGUAAGUAUUGAUCCAUCUGUUCAAUACGAUUACCUCGAUAGACAUUGCAAAGCACGCCACUAAUCCCUUUCCUAAAUACUGGUCUUCAUUACAGGAAAGAGCAGAACUCAGCAGCAAAGAGAAUGUGUUGCUUAAAAUGGGAGCUAGAAGUAAUCCCUCGGGCAAUAGGUAGGGAGCCAUGCUUCCUCUCAUCUCACAGAGCUUCCCAGCUCAAUGUCAUGGUGUGCACAACUGUCCUGAGCCACACAGCCUGUGCUGGACAAACCUGAGACAGCCCAGAAGGUCAGAGGUUUCCCAGGUUCGAGGGACUGUAUGUGAGGAUUACCUCACUGGUGAUAGAAUGUGCUUGGUACCCAGCUAACCGACAAACCUAAUCAAAAGCCAGAUAAUUAUGCUUCUGUAUGCAGAGACGGGGAAAGCCUACCGGGAUGGAAGCUUUUGUCUGUGAUGCCUCUAAAGGUCGUGUAUCUGAACCUGCCCAAAAUCAAAUGGUAAAUGGAAAUACACAUUGCUUUUGUCUCCUGAAGGAAAGCAUGGCAUUGUGGUGGUCCCUUUUGAUGUCUGAAUUUCUGGGCUUUUCAUACCUAUCCCUUUAGGCUUAUCUUCUAAAACAUAUAUAUGUGUGUGUGUGUGUGUGUGUGUGUGUGUGUGUGUGUGUGUGUGUGUGUAUAAAGUAUUCAAUUUCUGUGUUAGAAUAAGUGAAAGAACUCAGUUUCAGAAUUACCAACUAUAUAUUUCCAUUUAUGUGACAUUUUGGGAAAGGCAGAAAAUACAGGAAUAGCCAAUGGAUAAGAGGUCCUUAGGGUUAAGAAGAAAAGAGGUUGUGAAUCCAUGGGUGGUUAGAAGGUAUUAGGACAUUAACACUUAUUUCUUGGCUACCCUGAGUGGCUGUAAGAAUCUAUGUGGGUAUACACACAGAACUUAUAUAGCCUCUGCAAACCAAAUUUUACUGUGAAGGAAAAUGUCAAAUUGACUUAAAUAUCAUGUGCUUCUAUCUGUGCCAGUGUGUCAGCAGGAAUCGGGUGGUGGCGCAUCCCACCUCCAGUCUACAUCAGUACCACCAUGGCAUCAUCAUGUCAGCAUCAUUAGCAUGAUGUCAGCAUCAUUAGCAUGUUAGUGCAGCCUUAUUUCUGGCAUUAGUACAGUGGUGUUACAUCUGGGUCCACUAGGCUCUCCAAUGCCUCAUAUCUAAGAAAUAGAGUUCAAAUGAUAUACUUCCAGGUCAGUUAGGCUCUCAAUACCUCAUAUCUUAGAGCUCAAAUGGUGUAUUUCCGGGUCAGCUACGCUCUCCAAUGCCUCAUCUAAGAAACAGAGCUUAAAUGGUGUACUUCUGGGUCAGCUAGGCUCUCAAUGCCACAUACCUAAAACACGGAGUUCAAACUGAAGUAAUCUGCCAUUGCCAUGAAGUUUUCACUGUUUCCAUCUUCCUGGCUUCUGUUUCGUUUCUCCAGGUUCAGGAGCCACUGUUUUUAAAUUUAUAACUAAACAUAAUUAAAAGUAAGACAUUUUUACUUUGUUUUACCAAAAGCUAUAACUCACCAUACAUUCUCCUCUUUUUUUCCCCCCUUCAUUUUUCUUUCUUCAAAAGGAAUGGUUUCUCAGCAUGCACAAGGCAGGAGUUCAAUUCUCAACCUAAUAAAGAAAGAGGAGGGGGGUUGGGGAUUUAGCUCAGUGGCAGAGCGCUUGCCUAGCAAGUGCAAGGCCCUGGGUUCGGUCCCUAGCUCCGGAAAAAAAAAAAAAAAAGAAAGAAAAGAAAGAAAGAAAGAGGAGGAAGAACACAGGAGAACGGAGGAGUUGUGGUUUUGAGACGCGCUUUGGGUAGGAAACCUCAAGACACCCGAAGGUCAAGUUCUCAGAACAAAGAUUUAUCUACACAUGAGGGAUGUACACAGGAGGGAUAAAGGGCACAAAAUAAGAUAAAAAAACAGGAGACCAAGGAUGAGGGGAGAUAUGAAGAAAAGGGAAAGGAGGCCCAGAUAUUUAUCCUGGAGGGACAAGACUGCCUCUGGAGAGAGAGGAGACAGACCCAUAAGCAAAUGGCAAUUUAUAAAGGUAAAGGGGAACCCCGGUGUUAGGAACGGGUGUUUAAUUUUAAUUGGUUGUAUUAAUUAGAUGAAUCAAAGGGGGGGCUUUUAAUUGCUAGACUGAAAUAUUGACAUAUUGAUAGCUGGACCUUGAGAGGAAGAAGUGACCAAACGAGGGGAUAGACCUUGGGUGACCAGUUCUAGGAAUGUAAUCCUAGUUUUUAGCAAGGCAGAGGGAGUAUGGGAGAAGGGCAAGGCCAGCCACAGCCACAUUUGGCAUACUCAGGCUGACUAGAGCCCCUUUAGUCUCUCACAUUAUUGGACAUCAACAAAGCCCUGUUGUCAAGUAUCUGUAGCAGUCUCUCUCUCUCUGUCUCUGUCUCUGUCUCUGUCUCUGUCUCUCUCUCUCUCUCUCUCUCUCCAUUUGUUUUAUUUUUGAUGCACAGUUGCCAUGCACUAUAUUAAGUGCAGAGUCCCUAGUGGAGAAAAAAGACUUCCCACUUUACUUACUGUGGGUACAGACAUCCAUAGGCAUUUCAUGCUCUACAAAGAAAAACAAAACAAAACAAAAAACAAAAAACAUCCCGGGUCAAGCAUUUUCCAUGUUUCUUCCUUAAGUCCUGUGCUGAUAGCAAAUCCCUAUGACAAAGGGUAGUGAGAGAGACUAUUCUCUGGUUUCUUCUGCUACCCUCUACUUACCAUCGCUGGCACUCUGCCAGGUUUGUCAAUCCCAACCCUGGAGAACAGUUGAGUCCCUGCCUCCUCCUAGCUGUCCUCAAUUCCCCUGCUGUCUUGUCCUUGCAGUUGUGACUCAACGUCAUAUCCUUUAUCCAAGACUGAGCUCUCCUGAAGUCCCCCAUUUCCACUUUCCUGGUCCCUGAGAUGACGAAAUCUCUGGGUCUGAGACUUUCUUUGGAGGCUUGAAUUCCCAGCAACCAUCCUCCAGAUUCUCAGUUGCACUUUAGAAAAAAGUAUAUUCAAUGAUUGGGAGAUGGUAAUCCUUUUGGAAUGUUCUUUGCGUAUAAAUGCAUUGGUCACAGUUUGGAAAUGUCACUUAUGAAUAGAAACAUUUUAUUCAUAUUGUCAUGUACAGCAUAUCUUGCUUAACAUAUUUUCUCAGCUUUGUAUUUCGAGGUAACUGUGUCUACUUUACUCCUCUGUUGCUGCUGCUGUUGUUUUAAUUUUUAGACUUAUUUAUUAAUUGUAAGUGUCUGACUGUUUUGCCUGUAUGCAUAUAUGCGCACCAGGUAUGGGUGCCCUCAGAGGUCAGAGGGGUAAUCAGAGCCCCUAGAAUUGGCAUUAAUGGAUGGUUGUGAGCCAUCAUGAAUGCACAGGUCCUCUGCAAAAGCAACAAGUGAUCUAAAUGGUUGAGCCAUCUCUCCAGACCCUUGGUUUUGAUUUAUAAGAUGGGGUCACAUGUAGUUCAGGGUAACUUCAAACUAACCAUGCAGCUGAAGAUGACCUUGAGUUCCUGGAUUCCUCACCUCCAUCUGCCAAGUGCUGGAAUCAGAAUAUGGGCCAACAUGCCCGAUCAUUUUAUUCUUAUUGAGUUAUAACUGAUGUUAUACUUCCUAAUGAAGCAUUUGGGUUUACUUAGUUUUGCUGGUGUCGCCAUCAUAGCGCAUGAUGUAGUGAACAUCUUUGUACUUAAAAAUUUGUAGAGUCAUACAAAUAUACUUGUAGAUAUCAGUGAAGCAGAACUAAAUUCAGGGCUAACAUUACCAGUGUAUUCAUUAUCAUAGAUUUCACCAAACUUUGCUACCAAAAUGUGGUAGCAUUUUCGAGUUAGAUCCCUGCCUAACGGAAGUGAGUACUCUGGCUUCCCACACCUUUCCCACGCCCUCAACUUUCAGAUCUUCCCAAUGGGUUUUACAAAUCACUUCAUUGUUGUUUCAACCUGCUUAAUUUUCUAGUAUCAAUAUCCCAUGGUCAACCCUGACUUUAUUUAAUAACAACUUACUCUCAAGGUGUCAGCUACCCCCAGUAACUCACACAUUUGAAAAUAGUAAGUGGGAAGAUGACUUAUGAUUGACAAAUGACUUAUUAUAGUACCAUUACUCUAUUGUGUUAGGUAUUUCUAGUCUCUUGCUGUGCAUAACUUAAAGAAUAAAAUUUGUCCAUGGGGAUAGAUAGAUAGAUAGAUAGAUAGAUACAUACAUACAUACAUACAUACAUACAUACAUAUAUACAUACAUACAUAAAUACAUACAUAUAUACAUACAUACAUAUAUAUAUAUUCAUAUAGAUUGUGUAGCAUCCCACCAUUUUCAGGUUCCACUGAGGAUCGUGGACUAUAUCCCCUAGAGAAGGGUGCAGCAGCUGUACCAGUGACUGACUGAUGAGUAUCUUGAGGAUGAGUAGGGCAGAAUGAGAUGUCGGCACUAGGACCUCAGGAAAUACAUCACUCUCAAGGGCAGAGGCACCUAGGCCCUCCUCUUCAUCUUCACAUCCUGCCAUCCCUCCUCACCCCCACCCCGUCGCCAUUUUUACUCAUACAGCUUACCUCAAGAACGGCAGCACAGACCCCUUCUCUUCUAGAUGGAAAUGAAGCAGAGACCUUGCCACUGUCACAUUUCCCAAAGGGUGCCUGGUCCCAGGAGAGUUAAAUACACCCAACCUAGUGUCCAGCAUCCUCCUGACCCGCAGAUGCCGUGCUACGGCUGUGGGUGGAGAGUGAAGAAGGAAGUCUGGCCUUUCAACCCUGCUGUCGCCUCUGUACCUCCUCCACUCUUCACCCUGUCAGCCGGGAGAGACAUGGGGACUGUGGCUGGGUAUGCUUUUAGGUGUUGAUAUUGUUCGGUCUCCAAAAUUCUGUAGAAGAGGAGGAGGGGAGGGAGAGGAGAAGGCAUAAGAAUAGAGGAGGAAGAGAAAAGAAAAGAAGGA